CUAGAAGAAGAAGAAAAAAA
rnacentral:sRNA from 1 species